ACAAAAACAAAACUUCAUUGAUAUCAAAAACUUCAUCAAAAAGAUGAAAAGAUGUUAUCAACAUAUGUUGACUUUUCUGUUUCUUUGCUUUGCUGCCCACCUCCUCCCCACCCCCACUUUUAAAAAUAGGUCUUAUAAAAUCAGGCAUUUGCCAAAGCUGCAGUUUUGAAGCAUAAGGUUUUCCCCUUUUCUGAUGUAUAAAUGCUAACCCUCCUCCCUCCUUUGCAGACACAGGCAUUUUCCUUUUUUGGGUUUUAGUUUUAUGAUUGCACAUUAGGAAGGGUUUGACAGAUCCUUUAAAAUAUAGGUCUAUUGAUAUACGUGCUGGUGAUCUUGGCUGCCGGCUUCAUUGGUGAUGGGGACACAUACAUGCACUGGAAACUCACAGAGGCUGGACAGACCUCUCUCCUCCAAUAUUGCAUCAUUAUUUUCCCCCAAUAAUGCCAGGGCCAACCUUAAUAAUUUUACGGGGGCUAUCUCUUGAUGGAAAGCAGUGGUUCUCCACUGGGGUCAGUUUUAUCUGCAAGGAGCCAUUUGGCAAUGUCUGGAGACCCGUUUCCUUGUUGGCACAUGCCUGGAGCUACCAGCAUCCAAUGGGUAGAGGCCAGGGAUGUGACUAAACAUGCUACACUCUAUAGGACAGACUCCCACCCAUAACAUCACUUUCAAAAUGUUAGUGGUGUUGAGGCUGAGAAACUCAACGAUAAGGGAUGCUUUCUAGGAUUGAGCUGUGGCCAGUGUAUUUCUUUCUCCUGUUAUUAAAAAAUACGCCAACAAGUGAAAAGCCACCAACUGUAUUCAUCAUAAAUGGUCUCUUAAAGAAAAUCCCGGGGCUACUCUUCCUGCAAAAAGGAAAGAAAACAAAAUCAAAGGGGCCCCCUGGUAUGAGUUACCCACUGAUGAUAUUCCCUCUGAGGACUGUUUUCUGGGUUACAGUAAUUAACAGAGCCCAGAAGGUUGUGAAGUCUAAGUUAAAGGGUGUCAGAGAUUCAGUCCCCAGAUGGGCCAUCCCGCAGAGAUGUAUGACAGUAUAAACUACAAUUAAAUCUCGUAGUGUAUUUACUUUUUGAUGGGAGGAAAAGGAAGGAAUGCUCUUUAGUCAUUCUUACCAGAGGAAAACUCCUAUUUUUCAUUUUAAUGUGAUUUCUUAUGAAGUGUAGAUGCUGGAUAGUGAAAAGGGGGGGAAAUGAAUUUACAAAUCUUGCUGUUCGCAAAGUGUGACACGACCUUUUAUUUUUAUAUUGUGGAUUGUGCUUUCUAUUAAGCUGUCGAUCAUAUUUUCUCUUUGCCAUUUCAAAAAAGGAAAACACGGCCUUUUUGCAGAUUUUAGUACAUGGGGACAAAAUUUGUUACAAUAAUGGCUAAGGUUGUGGGCUAGGCUUUUGGUGCUAAUUUUUUUUUUUUUUCUAAUUCAAAAAAUUUGUUUUUAUAUUUUUAUUUAAUUUGAGAGAGAGAUAGAGAGCAAGGGGGGAGGGGCAGAGAGAGAGGGAGAGAGAAUUCCAAGCAGACUCAGACCACAGUGAAGGGCUUGAACCCAUGAACCGUGAGAUCAUAACCCGAGCCGAAAUCAAGAGUCGGAUGCUUAACUGACUGAGCCACCUAGGCGCCCCUGAAGCUAAUUUCUUUUGAAUUGACCAAUAUGAAGUGCACUGAACACGGUUUUGUGUGCCUAGGUCUCUGCUAGAGCUUGUGGGCACCAUUUUUAGCCUGAACUUAUGAGCUGCAGUCACUGAGAUGAUACCUGAGCAUUAUCGUUUUGGUCCUUCAACGUGGAGGGAGAGAGAAAAUCCAAUUAUAUCAAGCAUAUUGGAUUGAAUAAUCUUAGAAUGGACUUUGUGGGCAAUAAUGGUGUUGACAAGAUACAGAGUUAGGUUUCUAAAGUUAGUGAACCCCGUUCACCUGUUGGCACAAGUACUUCUGGGCAGUGUGUCCCCAGUAUAAUCGAAGGGUAUUUGUAGUGGAUGGCUUAAAGACUCUCUUUCACCAUCCUACUCAUCCAAGUUCUAAAUACAUAAUGUCCUGUCCACUCUGUGACUCAUUUUAGAUGCACCUGGUGGAAAAUUGAAUUUAAUGAUCAAGUCCUUUUGAUUUCUGAGUCGUGGAAAUUCUUGUGAUUUUUGCGAUUCUGGAUUUGUAGCGCAUCUUAACGAAUAUCUUUUUUCUUUCUAAGUUAUCUUAAACAUGCGAUAGCGUGGUGAGUGGGGUUGGGCCGGUUAUGUCAGUGGGCAAACGAAGGAAAGGAAAUGACAAUAUAGGUUCCGAUAGGCUGAAUCUCACCAGAGUGGUAAUUAUUCUUUAAAUACUAAAAUAGAGUUUUACCUAUUAGAAGGCUCAUAAAACCCGCAUCCACCAUCUAUCUGAUUUUGCCGUUGAUGUAAUUUUAGGAAAUCAAAUGAACUGAGAUGGAAAUUAGGUUUCAUCCUCAGUGGCUUGUGUACCCCUCUAAGUUCUAUUAGAUUUAAUAGGAGUUUUGCAGGUGGAAACACAGCAGGACCACAGCUUUUAUCCCUCCAGAGAGCAGGCCUUUCAUAAACAGAGAAUAUAAAAUUAUGCCUUUUAUCUCGCCAUUUAAAAAUCUCUGCAUUUUCUGCACCCAAGUUAUUUAUCACAUGCACGGAGAGGACAAUCCAGGAUUGUAUUUUGAAAAAGGGGAAAGGGAAGCCAUUCAGAUUCCUAUUAAAAUGAAUUGUACAAGCUGUACAUCACUUUCUAAUUUCUGAGACUACUUGUAAAUCAUGGGGAGAGAGGGCAUUCUACCAUUGGUCAGGGGAAAAAUGGGAAAUUUAAUAGUUUGUCAAAGAUUAAUAAGAAAGGAUUACCGCUUGGAAAGACCCCGACUUGGUGAGCAAGUACGUUUUGAAGUUCAUCAAGCUUAUUAGCAGAUGGAGGGGUUUAAUUAAAGUUACUUGUCAUUACUCAAGUUUGCUUCUGCUCUGUCCCUGGGACAGAAGUGUAUGUUAUGCCAGUGACAUUGUCAAAACUUAGAUGUGGCCUCGAGAGCUGGGUGUUUUUCUUUCACGCUCUCCUUAUUCCUCUUUCAUCAUUUAGGAGCUGAUGAAUAUCUUUUACUUGUGGUCCAUUCUAUGUCUUGAUCAGUAGAAAUUCCAGGAGUUGAUUCUGUUCAUUUAUUGUGCCCUAUUUUAUGUUUUAAUUAACUUUUUAGUGAUACUGAUUUAAGUGGAAAUAGUGUAAGACUGCCAGGAAUAAGGAGUGUGUGUGUGUGUGUGUGUGUGUGUGUUAAAUACCAUGUUGAUAGCAGAGUUAAAUGUGUGUGUUCCUAUAUAUGUGAGAGCGUGUGUGCACAUAUUGCAUAUGUAUGUGUCUGUGUUUAUAUAUUAUUGAAUGUUAUCAGGAUGACAUUUACCCUUUCAAACUCUGAGCUGCACAUUUAUACCACUCUUGUAAGCAAAGCCCUUUCUUUCCCUCUUGUUCCGGCAAGAAGCUCAGAGAAUGACUUUAUCUGGGAGACCGCAUUUUUGAUCUCAUGUAGAGCUAGGAGCACUCUGACAUAUGGUUCAACAAAGGCACCCGGGCUCAGGCAGCCAGCACUUGGGGUGCUUCUGUUAAUGCCUGUUUAUCAGAUUAUUGAAAGGCAAGCUGCUUUCCUCGGAAUGUGCUUCCUACUCCCUGAGUAUCUGUAAUCCUACCUGGAUACCGGCCUGAUAUCAUUAUAUAAACAGAAGUCUCAACAGACACUGCAGAAACUCAUAGAAUGUGUUCUUUACGAUCAGGCCUUUUGUGUGGAUGCAACGAAAUAUGUAGGAGACUUAUAUUGUUAACAGUCUGGAGCUUUUCAAAAUUGUAGUUGUUGGAGAUGAAAGCCACAAACGAUGACAAAAUCCACUGAUUUAUUUUCAUGGUUGUUAUUAUUAUUAUUUUUUACAUUUUUAAAGUAUUUAUUUAUUUUGAGCAAGACAGAGAGCACAAGCGGGGAAGGGGCAGAGAGAAAGAGAGAGGGAGAGCAAGACACAGAAUCCAAAGCAGGCUCCAGGCUCUGAGCUGUGAGCUCAGAGUCUGAUGUGUGGCCUGGACUCAUGAACUGUUGAGAUUGUGACCUGAGCCAAAGUUGGUUGCUCAACGGACUGAGCCACCCAGGCACCCCUGUAUAGUUAUUUUUAAACUGGUAAGGUACAGAAAUAUUAAUAGUUGAGGUAUGGAGUAGACUGGAAUCCAGGGGUUCUCAAAUCAUGCAGCUCAGCAGAAACCCCAAGGUCCUUUGUAAGGGGUACCUGUCCCUAUUUAACUGUGAAAUCUAUUUUUUUUCAAGCACCCCAGGUAAUUCUUAUGCAAGUGGUCCCUUGAUCCAGUUUGAGAACCCCUUAUGUAGAUUAUCAGCCUCAUCAUAACCUUCCCAGGCAGGAAUCAAUUUCUUUGAAUGUAAGAUGAACUAUCCUUUUCAUAAAACACAGAGAUUUCAAGUUAGGCCUAAAUCUUUGGAACAUAUAGUCCAUUGGGCACAGAUCCACUGGCCUAGAUAAUACUGAAUUAAACUCCUCCCUUUCCUGCCCUCCCACGUAGAAAUUGGCCAGGGUACCGCAGUGAAGGUUAUUCUCAAAACCAAGCCUGUUGUUCAAAUCUGGCAGUGAAUAAAACUUUUAAACUUGGGUCCACUCCUAAUGGAACCUUUUGAUCCAAAUGCUUUAGCAUUAGACCUUUUGUUAUCUUAGUUGAUGAAAACUGAGGCGUAAUGUAACAUUAAACAUAUUUUAUUAUUCCUUUUUGGACCUCUUGGAUUCGAAUCUGGUUUUGCUACCUAUUAGGUAUGUGACCUUAGACAGGUGCCUCAAUCUUGCCCCACUUUGUUGUCUAACCUAUAAAGCGAGGGUAAUAGAAUUCAUAAAGCUAACGCAGGACUAACUGAAAGAGUGCAAGGUAUUAGCUCAUCGUCUUCCACAUAGUAGAGGCUCAGUAAAUAUUAUCUCUUAUAAUUAUCACAGGGGUCAAAAAAGUUACAAAAUGCAUGAGCGGCAGAUCUUACCCUAGUCAAGGGCUUGCAGCCUCAAAUUUGGCAUAAGGUGUAGUUAAAUACCAUAGUACAAGUAGGAAGGACAGAAGGCUAUAAGGGAAGAAAGGAAAAAUGAUUGCAAUGUUUUCAGAGGAGAACAGGAUUACUUAGUACUUUCUGCUGCAUCUUGAUAGGAAGCAUCUUUUGUGCCUUUUUGAACUGAGCCUCGAGGAAGCAGCCUAAAGGAGUAGGACAGAUAAAAGAGUGCACUCGAAGAGGAAACUGGAUGUGGAGUAAAAUAGCAUGUGGCACACAGAAAACACCCAGGAAAUAAUGGUUGAAAGGUGUGGGCUUUAUGGAGAGCAACUUGCUUAUGAAUUCUGGUCCUGUUGUCUUUUGUAAGAUGGGUUUGAUAACACUGACCACAUAGGGCUGCGUGGAUUGAGUGAAUAUUAUACGUAACUUGCUUAGCAGGCUAUUUGGCACGUCGUAAGCACCCAAUACCAGGGGCUAGUUGUGUAAUUAUUCUCUCCUGGUAUGAACAGGAAUAGGAAGAUUUCAGCUGGCAGUGCAAAUGUACACCAGGUGAUGAAGACAUUUUAAUACUGAGCUAAGGCGUUUAGAUUUUAUUCACUUGACAGUUGGGAGCCAUGGAAGCGUUUUGAUCAGAUGCACAGACAUUGAGGGUAUUUCCUCUCCUGGUUUCAUUACAGUGCCUCAGGGAAUAGCAGAAAAAGAAGUUUCCAUACCCCUCUUUCUGUCAGGGAGUUAGACCUUUUCCAGAGGUUCCAUUGCUCACUUCACCUUGGACCUUUCCCCUUGGGAGUGGGUCCCAUGUCCAUUCUGUAGCUGUAUGUGUCUGGAAACGUGGUAACUGGAAGAUGGCUCUCUGUGUUCACUGGGAAUGGCUCUUGGAGUGUGGCCAGGCCAGGCAACCGGCAAUAUCUGUCACUGGGAAUAUAAUGGUAUGUUGGAGCCCAAGGUGUGCUCAGUAGGAGGCACAGGAGAUAAUAAGAAAAAUAGCAGGAUACGGAAAAUAGAGGAAGAGGUAAAAGAUGUGUGUAAAAAGCUGUUAAAUUCAGCUCUUGACCCAAUGUAAAUUCGAGGUGCAAGUAUAAUAUCCAGGAAGAAGUGAUCCACAGGCAGAAGGAAUUUAGGAUUCAACUGCAAGGCUGAAAGUAUUGACUUGGUAAUCAUUUGCUUGGAAGGUUGCAAAGAGCUCCUGAGAUUCCCAAAGUAAGGAAAAAGGAGUAAGGAAUGGACAAGAACCAAGUAAAGGCUAAAGGAAUGAUUUCCUCUUGGGGGGCUUGUCAUGGGCAGUGCCAGCCAAGGGAGACCUUAUUUACCAUUGUGAAAACCACCCCCCUUGGUAUUCACCAUUAGCCUCCAUAUCCUCUAAGGCAUGUGACCUUCGUGAAAACAGCCAUCUGCUUGUUACACACAGCCAGCUAGAAGGCAAGUUCCAGUCUAGCUGCCCACCCCUCCUCCCACCUCUUCUGGGUGGAUUUCUCCUCUCAGCUCCAUCUGAGAAAUUGAGUUGUCUCUACGGUGGCCACUCCACUGGCAAGUGACAGUCUCCCUUAGCUUGUCACCUACCUGUGGUAGGGAUUGGAGACUGUCAGGAGGGCAAGUGUGGUAGACCCAAUUAUUGUGCUGAUAUGAUAUAUGCCCCCUGCAACUGCUCUACUGCCCCUUGGCUGUGUAACUCUGCUAUGCCUCCAGGUGGGUGGACACCUCACUGCCCCACUGACUUUGGGCCGGCCUCUGUGAUUCUCUUUGGUCAGCGGAAUGUAGUAGAUGUACGU